UCUACUCAAUCCUUAGUCCUUACUUUCCUCCCCACACAAAAUCUAACAGGCGAAAAAUCCUCUUCGUGUCUGGCCAUGGCCGUCUGUAACUGUUUCCUCCAAGCGCCACCGCUCUCUCGCUUCUUAUCACCGGUUUUCUCCCGCCGCGCUACGAAUCUCUUCCCCGGCUGUGGUCAGCUCAAAUCCACCGUCAUGUUCUCCUCCUCCUCCGCCGCGAACAGAACCGGACCGUUGACAUCUCCGGUCAGAGCUGAAGUAAAGCGCGUCUCGCGCAAGGAAUCUGAAAUAGCUUCCGCUUCUGAUCUUCAAUUUGAGACGCCGUUGAAGAUUGUUGAGUAUCCGGAUCCUAUCUUACGCGCCAAGAACAAGAGGAUUGGCGUUUUUGACGAGAAUUUGAAGAACUUGGCCGAUGCUAUGUUCGAUGUUAUGUACAAAACGGAUGGCAUCGGGCUCUCGGCACCACAAGUGGGGCUCAAUGUUCAACUCAUGGUGUUUAAUCCAGCUGGGGAGUCUGGUGAAGGAGAAGAGAUUGUUCUUGUGAAUCCGAAAAUCAAUAAAUAUUCCGAUAAAUUAGUGCCAUUCAACGAAGGAUGCCUUUCCUUCCCUGGGAUCUAUGCUGAUGUAGUUCGACCACAAUCUGUCAAGAUUGACGCAAGGGACAUUACUGGGGCUAGAUUUUCGAUCAGUCUAUCACGUUUACCUGCACGAAUAUUUCAGCACGAAUACGACCACUUAGAGGGAGUUCUCUUCUUCGACAGAAUGACGGAUGACGUUCUUGACACCAUUCGUGAAGAGCUAGAGGCCCUGGAAAAGAAGUACGAAGAAAAAACUGGAUUGCCAAGCCCUGAAAAAGUACAAGCACGACAAAAAAGGAAAGCAGGAGUUGGUUUUGGCAAACGUUGAUGAGACAUUCUCGCUCAAUUCUCGUUUCAUCUUCGUUUAGGGUAUGGGGAAUUAACAAUGGUAUGGGGAGCAGACAAUGACAAGAAACACGUUUGCCUUUUUAAAUCCAGAGGAGGACAUCACAUUGCGUGAUGCAAAUCUCCCAAACAUAUCAAGCAUCAUUGGAAGACUGACUUGUAGACUUUUCUGUUUUCAAACACUGAAUUGGAGGAAGAGUUUCAGUUUUCAAUUCACCGUGUGCUUCCCAGCAGAAUGGCUCACUUGAACUUGCUUUAUCUGUGGCCGGCUUAAGCUCUAUGGUCGACAGUGAGAUCCCUGUGCAUGGCAAGCUAUCACUGCAGGCAAAGCGUACAGGUUCCCUUGUGUAGGUACCUUUUAUGUUUAUGUAGUUUAUGUUUGAUACAGCGACUGCUGAAGUUUCAUUGUGGCAUCCUCCACCAUCGCAAUAAUAUUGAUCUAUUACUAUCGGAUUAGCUACUUCGCUGACUUGGAUAUUUGAAAACAUAACUUGUUUUACAGACCCUGACCCUCCCUACCAUUAAACAUAAUAGAAAGUUGUCAGAAUCUUUGAGCGGUUACUUUGAUUUGUCUUUGCAUUUGUUUUGUUAUGCAAACCUAUGUGUAGAAGAAUUUACCUGCCAGGAUUUUAUUCUUACACCAUUCGUAGUUUCAUGCAUCGUGACAUCACGGACAGUGAUGUUUGAAACACACGCCUUUGUGUUCUCCUUUCCUAGUCCUCCAAUGCUAAUUCCAUGGCCAGGCCCACAGUCUACAUCGUGUAUGUAGAUAUUUGAGCAUCCUGUUUGAAUUGAUAUACAGUCAUCUCCUGUAAAAUGCACAAAAUUGUUAUUUCUUCAUCUUGGCAAGUUUGUUUAGGAAGUAUAGUCUGGAAAUGUUCGAUGAUCUGACUAGUGGUAUCUAAUUAAGAAUGAGUUGACUUGUAAUAGAUCUAAUUUAAAGAAAAUGGGCUAUGUUUGAAGUCUGUGGUUACCACAAGCCAGCGUGCUGCGGUAAAUAACGGCGUCUUGAGAGUUUUGCAGGUGGAUCCCAUCUGUAUUUGGGGAAUCUCCAGGAGAUGAAGUUGUGAAGUCAGACACUUGAAUGUUUACACAGUUAUCAAACUUGAGGUGGGUCUGAGGGCUGUUCUGUAUGGUUAUUCCAUUAACCAUUACACCGUUACUCCCGUAGAAUCUCAACGCCUACAUACCAGCCAAGGAAGGAGACAGGUCCAACAAGGAACGUAGAACCGGAUGGAACUAAUAAUGUCGAUGCUGCCACUUUACAAGCUUCAUUCCAAGCGUCUUCAAAAGCCUGCAAUAUUAAAAGUCAAGGACAUUGAACGUUCCGGAACUUCCCCCUUCAGCGAUAGACCUGCGGUUUCCUCUCCAGUAUACACUAUGUCUAGCGUCACAAGAGAUUAAAAGGAGAAGUUUCAGGGCAAGACAUUUCAAGGUACUGAGUUGGUCUUGGUAAGCUCUUCGGUUAACACAAAAACCAAAAUCUAUUUAUCAGGCAAAGGGGUUUGAGUGAAGAAAAGCUGCCAUACAAUCACAGGCAUGUCACGUAGACCUCAUCAUAAGAUAAUCUUUUUUAUUUUGAGUUCCUUAAAUUAAGCAGCGUAAUUUAGGUUAAAUCUGUGGUGUUCAUUGAAUCUUCUCAAAUGCUAUAUAUAAAAUCUAUUUUAUCAUUUUUUCUUCGUA